GAUGAACGCUGGCGGCGUGCCUAAUACAUGCAAGUCGAGCGAACAGACGAGGAGCUUGCUCCUCUGACGUUAGCGGCGGACGGGUGAGUAACACGUGGAUAACCUACCUAUAAGACUGGGAUAACUUUGGGAAACCGGAGCUAAUACCGGAUAAUAUAUUGAACCGCAUGGUUCAAUAGUGAAAGACGGUUUUGCUGUCACUUAUAGAUGGAUCCGCGCCGCAUUAGCUAGUUGGUAAGGUAACGGCUUACCAAGGCGACGAUGCGUAGCCGACCUGAGAGGGUGAUCGGCCACACUGGAACUGAGACACGGUCCAGACUCCUACGGGAGGCAGCAGUAGGGAAUCUUCCGCAAUGGGCGAAAGCCUGACGGAGCAACGCCGCGGGAGUGAUGAAGGUCUUCGGAUCGUAAAACUCUGUUAUUAGGGAAGAACAAAUGUGUAAGUAACUAUGCACGUCUUGACGGUACCUAAUCAGAAAGCCACGGCUAACUACGUG
rnacentral:rRNA from 1 species